GAUGAACGCUGGCGGCGUGCCUAAUACAUGCAAGUCGAGCGAACGGACGAGAAGCUUGCUUCUCUGAUGUUAGCGGCGGACGGGUGAGUAACACGUGGAUAACCUACCUAUAAGACUGGGAUAACUUCGGGAAACCGGAGCUAAUACCGGAUAAUAUUUUGAACCGCAUGGUUCAAAAGUGAAAGACGGUCUUGCUGUCACUUAUAGAUGGAUCCGCGCUGCAUUAGCUAGUUGGUAAGGUAACGGCUUACCAAGGCAACGAUGCAUAGCCGACCUGAGAGGGUGAUCGGCCACACUGGAACUGAGACACGGUCCAGACUCCUACGGGAGGCAGCAGUAGGGAAUCUUCCGCAAAGGGCGAAAGCCUGACGGAGCAACGCCGCGUGAGUGAUGAAGGUCUUCGGAUCGUAAAACUCUGUUAUUAGGGAAGAACAUAUGUGUAAGUAACUGUGCACAUCUUGACGGUACCUAAUCAGAAAGCCACGGCUAAGUACGUG
rnacentral:rRNA from 1 species